rnacentral:rRNA from 1 species
UACGUAGGGUGCGAGCGUUAAUCGGAAUUACUGGGCGUAAAGUGUGCGCAGGCGGUUUCGCAAGUCAAGUGUGAAAGCCCCGGGCUUAACCUGGGAACUGCGCUUGAAACUACGGAACUCGAGUAUGGCAGAGGAAGGUGGAAUUCCACGUGUAGCGGUGAAAUGCGUAGAGAUCGGGAGGAACACCCGUGGCGAAGGCGGCCAGCUGGGAUGCACCUGACACUGAGGCGCGAAGGCGUGGGGAGCGAACGGG